GACGAACGCUGGCGGCGUGCUUAACACAUGCAAGUCGAGCGAGAGAAUCUCCUUCGGGAGAGACUCUAGCGGCGGACGGGUGAGUAACACGUGGGUAACCUGCCUCAUAGAGGGGAAUAGCCUUCCGAAAGGAAGAUUAAUACCGCAUAAGAUUGUAGUACCGCAUGGUACAGCAAUUAAAGGAGUAAUCCGCUAUGAGAUGGACCCGCGUCGCAAUAGCUAGUUGGUGAGGUAACGGCUCACCAAGGCGACGAUGCGUAGCCGACCUGAGAGGGUGAUCGGCCACAUUGGGACUGAGACACGGCCCAGACUCCUACGGGAGGCAGCAGUGGGGAAUAUUGCACAAUGGGGGAAACCCUGAUGCAGCAACGCCGCGUGAGUGAUGACGGUCUUCGGAUUGUAAAACUCUGUCUUCAGGGACGAUAAUGACGGUACCUGAGGAGGAAGCCACGGCUAACUACGUGCCAGCCGCCGCCGUAACAC
rnacentral:rRNA from 1 species